rnacentral:rRNA from 1 species
UACAGAGGUGGCAAGCGUUGUUCGGAAUUACUGGGCGUAAAGGGCGCGUAGGCGGCCUUGUAAGUCCUGUGUGAAAUCCCCCGGCUCAACUGGGGAACUGCACAGGAGACUGCUUGGCUUGAGUUCGGGAGAGGGAAGCGGAAUUCCGGGUGUAGCGGUGAAAUGCGUAGAUAUCCGGAGGAACACCGGUGGCGAAGGCGGCUUCCUGGGCCGACACUGACGCUGAGGCGCGAAAGCCAGGGGAGCAAACGGG